UAUUGAUCGAUCACGAGGAUACUCUUACACUACACCUCGUAAGUCUAGACUAACGUUACAAGCCUAUUACACCUAGCUAGCUAUUCCAGCGCAACUAGAUGAAUGGGCCAGACUAAACCCGAUAGACAUUUCCUUAUUGGACCAGAACCAACUCUGCGAAGCCCAUCUAAUUUAAUACUGCAAAACAGAAAAGCCUUGUUUUCACUUGUUGACUUCUAUUUGGCGUUGACUCCUUCGCGACAGCUUCUUCUUCUCCGACGCCUCUUCUUCUUCUUUACUCUUAUCAUUGAGGCUUUCUCUUAUUGCACUAUACUCAUAAAUUAGGAUUGGAGUUUUGUUGGAGAAGGAUCCUCAGAAGAAAGAAAUAAGCCAUGGAAGGAUGACCCGGAGCUGUCCGACGGAGAUCCCAUACCACCGGGUGAAUUCAAAGGCUAUGCCGUCAGAAGAGCUCUCACUAUACUCACGAAUCAGCUCGGUUUUGCCGACUCACAGUGAUGCAGUGUUUAGGGGUUGUGGGUCUUGAAGAAAUAUUCGUUCAAGAGGUUUUUUCACUGGACAUAUUAAGUAACAACUAGAUGCAGAGUCGAUUUCUCUCUAUAGGAUAUGUCCGGGAACGGGUUACAGGGUUAGUAAUUCUUGCUAGGCAGAGACCAACCUGCAAAACAAAAGGACCAUAUAUUGAAAACGAAGAGCUAGAAGAAGACCACACCACCUAAAGACACUAGUCAAGAGAAACCGAGAGCCUUGUUAAGUAGAGGUUGAGAUAAGAAGGCUAAAGGAAAAGAGAAGGGGAAAGGAGAGAAGAUAGUGAAGAAGCUAAUGAACAACAAGGGAGUCUCUUAGUGGUUGGAGAAGAGAAGAAACCACCCAUUUGGAGAUUGUUAAAGAGAUGUGGAUGGGAGGAAACGAAGAGGCCGAGCAGGAGUUCUCAAGUAUUGCCUAGAGAAGGGUUCAUGUAUCACCAGUGCAGUUAAACUAAAGAACUGUAAUUAAGCUUGGUGGUUACUUGAUCACAGUCAAAUGUCACAAGAAUUUUCUGUCUCUGCAUAUCGUUUUUAAUUAUUUGUUGAAAUUGAUUAGAGUUUGGUUAUGUUCUGGUUUGACUAA